rnacentral:rRNA from 1 species
CAGGCUUAACACAUGCAAGUCGAGGGGCAGCAUGGUCUUAGCUUGCUAAGGCCGAUGGCGACCGGCGCACGGGUGAGUAACACGUAUCCAACCUGCCGUCUACUCUUGGACAGCCUUCUGAAAGGAAGAUUAAUACAAGAUGGCAUCAUGAGUCCGCAUGUUCACAUGAUUAAAGGUAUUCCGGUAGACGAUGGGGAUGCGUUCCAUUAGAUAGUAGGCGGGGUAACGGCCCACCUAGUCUUCGAUGGAUAGGGGUUCUGAGAGGAAGGUCCCCCACAUUGGAACUGAGACACGGUCCAAACUCCUACGGGAGGCAGCAGUGAGGAAUAUUGGUCAAUGGGCGAGAGCCUGAACCAGCCAAGUAGCGUGAAGGAUGACUGCCCUAUGGGUUGUAAACUUCUUUUAUAAAGGAAUAAAGUCGGGUAUGCAUACCCGUUUGCAUGUACUUUAUGAAUAAGGAUCGGCUAACUCCGUGCCAGCAGCCGCGGUAAUACGGAGGAUCCGAGCGUUAUCCGGAUUUAUUGGGUUUAAAGGGAGCGUAGAUGGAUGUUUAAGUCAGUUGUGAAAGUUUGCGGCUCAACCGUAAAAUUGCAGUUGAUACUGGAUAUCUUGAGUGCAGUUGAGGCAGGCGGAAUUCGUGGUGUAGCGGUGAAAUGCUUAGAUAUCACGAAGAACUCCGAUUGCGAAGGCAGCCUGCUAAGCUGCAACUGACAUUGAGGCUCGAAAGUGUGGGUAUCAAACAGGAUUAGAUACCCUGGUAGCCCACACGGUAAACGAUGAAUACUCGCUGUUUGCGAUAUACGGCAAGCGGCCAAGCGAAAGCGUUAAGUAUUCCACCUGGGGAGUACGCCGGCAACGGUGAAACUCAAAGGAAUUGACGGGGGCCCGCACAAGCGGAGGAACAUGUGGUUUAAUUCGAUGAUACGCGAGGAACCUUACCCGGGCUUAAAUUGCAGAUGAAUUACGGUGAAAGCCGUAAGCCGCAAGGCAUCUGUGAAGGUGCUGCAUGGUUGUCGUCAGCUCGUGCCGUGAGGUGUCGGCUUAAGUGCCAUAACGAGCGCAACCCUUGUUGUCAGUUACUAACAGGUUCCGCUGAGGACUCUGACAAGACUGCCAUCGUAAGAUGUGAGGAAGGUGGGGAUGACGUCAAAUCAGCACGGCCCUUACGUCCGGGGCUACACACGUGUUACAAUGGGGGGUACAGAGGGCCGCUACCACGCGAGUGGAUGCCAAUCCCCAAAACCUCUCUCAGUUCGGACUGGAGUCUGCAACCCGACUCCACGAAGCUGGAUUCGCUAGUAAUCGCGCAUCAGCCACGGCGCGGUGAAUACGUUCCCGGGCCUUGUACACACCGCCCGUCAAGCCAUGGGAGCCGGGGGUACCUGAAGUGCGUAACCGCGAGGAGCGCCCUAGGGUAAAACUGGUGACUGGGGCUAAGUCGU